UACAGAGGUGGCAAGCGUUGUUCGGAAUUACUGGGCGUAAAGGGCGCGUAGGCGGUCUUGUAAGUCUUGUGUGAAAUCCCUCGGCUUAACUGAGGAACUGCACGGGAUACUGCGAGACUUGAGAUCGGGAGAGGGAAGCGGAAUUCCGGGUGUAGCGGUGAAAUGCGUAGAUAUCCGGAGGAACACCGGUGGCGAAGGCGACUUCCUGGCCUGUUCUUGACGCUGAGGCGCGAAAGCUAGGGAGCAAACGGG
rnacentral:rRNA from 1 species